rnacentral:ncRNA from 1 species
AAUGGGAUAAAAGCGCCUGGCCAAUCCCUUGUGGGAGUGGUGACGAGGAUGGAGGUUCCCUGGUGUGAACCAGGGCUAACUGGAACAGAUCCAGGAAAAUCGAGAGAUCGGCGGAUGCCUCCCGCUGCAAAGUGCAGUUGAAUUCCCAUAGCGAUAAAAAAUUUAAUAAAUUCUGAAGCGAUCAAUGUUGUUAUUGAUU